rnacentral:tRNA from 1 species
GCCUUCAUGGUGUAAUGGUCAGCACGCUCGACUCUUAUUCGAGAGGUCCGUGGUUUGAGUCCUGGCGAGGGCA